GGGCGCAAKYCUGAUGCAGCCMUGCCGCGUGUAUGAAGAAGGCCUUCGGGUUGUAAAGUACUUUCAGCGGGGAGGAAGGGAGUAAAGUUAAUACCUUUGCUCAUUGACGUUACCCGCAGAAGAAGCACCGGCUAACUCCGUGCCAGCAGCCGCGGUAAUACGGAGGGUGCAAGCGUUAAUCGGAAUUACUGGGCGUAAAGCGCACGCAGGCGGUUUKUUNAGUCAGAUGUGAAAUCCCCGGGCUCAACCUGGGAACUGCAUCUGAUACUGGCAAGCUUGAGUCUCGUAGAGGGGGGUAGAAUUCCAGGUGUAGCGGUGAAAUGCGUAGAGAUCUGGAGGAAUACC
rnacentral:rRNA from 1 species